rnacentral:rRNA from 1 species
UGCGUAGGCGGUUAGGUAAGUCAGAGGUGAAAGCCCACAGCUCAACUGUGGAAUUGCCUUUGAUACUGUUUAACUUGAAUCAGGUUGAGGUUGGCGGAAUGUGACAUGUAGCGGUGAAAUGCAUAGAUAUGUCAUAGAACACCAAUUGCGAAGGCAGCUAACUAGACCUGUAUUGACGCUGAGGCACGAAAGCGUGGGGAGCGAACAGGAUUAGAUACCCUGGUAGUCC